GUGAGUCAUCGAGUCUUUGAACGCACCUUGCGCUCCUUGGUAUUCCGAGGAGCAUGCCUGUUUGAGUGUCAUUAAAUUCUCAACCUUAUUAGCUUUUGCUAAUAAUGGCUUGGAUUUGGGGGUCUUUUUGCCGGCUUCUUCAACGAGGUCAGCUCCCCUUAAAUGCAUUAGCUGGUGUCCUGUGUGGACUUGUCUAUUGGUGUGAUAAUUAUCUACGCCGUGGAUGUCUGAACAUUAUAUGGGUUUGCACUGCUUCUAACUGUCUGUUUAUUCAGACAAUACAUGACAAUUUGACCUCAAAUCAGGUAGGACUACCCGCUGAACUUAAGCAUAUCAAUAAGCGGAGG
rnacentral:rRNA from 1 species